rnacentral:rRNA from 1 species
UACGGAGGGUGCAAGCGUUGUCCGGAUUUAUUGGGUUUAAAGGGUGCGCAGGCGGCCGUGUGUGUGAGGCGUGAAAGCCCGGGGCUUAACCCCGGAAUUGCACCUCAAACUACAUGGCUAGAGCAUUGGAGAGGGUAGCGGAAUUCACGGUGUAGCAGUGAAAUGCGUAGAUAUCGUGAGGAACACCAGAGGCGAAGGCGGCUACCUGGACAAUUGCUGACGCUCAGGCACGAAAGCGUGGGGAGCAAAAGGG